AAAACGGGAAGCAGAAUCAAUAAAUUCUUUCUAUCCUUAUUCAUUUAGCUUGUAUAGACCUCGCUCGGUAUAAAUGAACCAUCAUGGAUAUCCUAAAUGCUUUGCAUUAUGGGUUAAUUUCUUAUUAGACCAGUGGCUCCAGGAUCUUGGCUUAAGGAAUGGAAAGGACGGUGAGGAAUAGAGGGAGAAGUGAAAGAAAAGAAUGAAAAAAAAGAGUCUUGGAAGAAAAGAAAACAAACACGCAGGAUAAUAAACGAGAGAGGAGUUCUGUGUUUAAGUUGGACGGGAUGUCUAGCACAAACGGUGGGAAAGGAUGCUGGCUGCAGGUUUGUACUCGGAGGGAAGCUGAGCUGAGCAGGAGGAAAAACAGGACGGAAUAGAAAAAAAUAAGGAGGUGAAACAACUUAAUGUGAUUGUAAUCAAAGCAUCACUUUGUUUAGCAGCUUGGCAUUCUGUCGCUGAUGUGGCACCGCUUCGAAAAGCAUCAUUAAAGCCAUUAACUUUCAUAAUUUCCCCAAUUUUCUUUAUUUCAAAUAUAAACAGUCUCCAGUCAGCCAAGCGCUCUGAGACCUCCCGUUUCACAGGGAGCUAUCAGAUGAAUGCUGGGAUAUCUUAGGGGCUUUCUGGCUGAUCGGAACAUAUUCUAAAUGAUCCUGAAAAAGUCCUAAUGGCAAACACAGGUGGGAAAAGUAUUACAAGCCCAUCAGAGCUGCUACCAUUCUCACAAAGACAGCUAAUGCUAAGAAAAAACAUUCAAGGCAAUUAUGAUGAAGUGGGAGAGGAGUGUGUACUUUCUUUGUGAAAGCAAGUAGUUGAAUUGUACUGUUACAACUCCUAGAACGGUUAAUUAGACGGUAAGUGAACUAUGAAAGCAAAGCAGGCUAUUGCUCUAAUUCCAAAAUUGUUCUGCUAAUGAGCCUCGCAAAAACAACCAUCAGACUAUUUUUCAAUUACGUGAACCUGGUUGAGCUGUAGUUAAAAUCUGAACAAUGUCAUUUGUAUAGCGUGAUAUUUAUUUAUUAGACCAGGAAAGCUCCCCCAAGCAUUUCCUUUUUCAAAAAAAAAAACAAAAAAAAAAACACAAAAACAAAAGGUAUUGCAAGAUUACAUUGAUAAACACCUAGAAUUUAGCAUGUUUAACAGUUUAUAAUUAGCAGUACCACACAUAUAGUUAGAUAAAUCAGAAAUACUGUCAAAAUGUACAAGUAUUUCAGAUAUUUACUUUGAAAAUUUUUCACUGUC
ensembl:lncRNA